GCUGUAGAAAGUUGAGACUAGUUUGCAUUAAGGUUAGCCCCUUUGUUUAUUCAUUAGUACAAGUUAUUUAGUUCUACUUAGAUUAUGUUCAGUACAUUGCUUCUUAUUUUCCAGUGACAACAAAUUUUACACAUAUAACAAAUCCACAUUUUUUAUAUGACACAACACUUUGGGUUGGCUAAAUUUACGUGAAUGCUCUCUUCUGACUUCAACUGUAACUAAGAAUCUUGCUAAAUAGGUUGCAUUUUGAAUCGAGAGUGCAGCUAAUAGCCAGUGUCGCUGCUUUUUUUCUCGACAAGGAAAAAAUAGCUAUUGUUGUUCUGAAGUUUUAGGAAUUUCAAGGAACUAUUUUAGGAAGAAUUAGCUUAUUGAGCUACUGUAGAUGGCUGGCAUUUGUGCCUUGAAGGUUUGUGUGCAUUUCAUAGUUCACCAAUCUUAUCUGAUUUCACUCACUUCCGUUACCAUGUUAUUUCUAGCAUAGCAUGUCUAAAAAUGCAGAAGUAGUGCCAAAAAAAUGUCAUUGUGUUAUGCAUAUAAAAGCUUUAUAAAAAUGCACAAAUUAUUGUGUUUUUUGGUAACUCACGGUUGUGUGUAGCUCUUGUAUGUCUUCGGGAUACUUAUGCAUACUGUUGUUUGGUACAUAUCUUCAGUACAAGUUUGGAAGGCAAGGAAGUUCUACCGCUGGCAUACACCGAGUUCAGAGAUGUUGCACGGAGUGAGCCGACACCGCCGUAAAAAAUGGUUUAUGAGCAUACUGUUGUUUGGUACUUAUGCAUACUGUUGUAGAAGUGAAAAUUGUUGGGUGCAUGUGCAGAAAAAUUGUCAGUUCAGUUUUCAAAAUUCUGUAAGUUUCUCGUGUGUGCUACUACAAAUCUGAACUAUUUGUCUAGACAUUCUAGUACUGAUGCAAUCGCCUAAAAUAAGUUCAAGAAAAAAUCAGUAAGUUUGGUGCGUGUGCUGCUACAAAUCUAAAAAUCUUCUUGAGUCAUUCUAGUACUGGAAUCUCUUUUAGUCUGUAGCAUAGAGAAUAUUUUUAUGCUCAUUCGUUCACAUUAUGAAGCUCAUUUAUAGUUUCUUUUCUCAUUCUGUUAAUUAAGAAAAUGCUUAUUGACCUUGAAGCAUUUGUUUCCCUGAUGUUCAGAUAUUAUCGUCUAGGAAUACAUGAUGUAACAUCGAGAGAAAAAUUUCAUGUUGAUUACUCCCGUCAAUUGUAAAAGUUUGCCAAUAUGCAAUCCAUAAGUUCAAUAUCCAGUACAUUAAUUUAGUAGUUGGUACUAACUACUCCAGUUUUUUAUUUGAUGUACCUGUGGUGUCUAGUUUCUUCUGUCAGUUAGAUUUCUAAAUUUCAUCCAGUUCAAUUCAUAUUGUAGCCCCAAUUUAGUCCACGUGGUUAAUUGUUGGCUGGUGUGUGUGCAGGGUAUCGUGACAUUGAGUAGGCGUGAAGUGUAUCACUCCAGCACGCCAAGCUCCAUUACAUGUCAACGUCUUUUCCACUGCAAUGGAAGCUCCUCUGUUCGAGUUGAGCACUUGUCAUCGUCCAAGUUGAGCACUAGGUGCCGUCCAAGUUCAAAGAGGGUUGCAUGCAAGUACAUAAGUUUGCUUUAGUGAGAAAAAUGCGGGGUUUUGACAAUAUUCUAUAUGAUUCAUUUAUUCAAACUUAGGACAUGGCAAUGUUCGGUCUAUUUUUCUAUGAUGAAGGCACACAUGAAGUCCUGUGCAAUCGUUAUCCCCCGUAGUGCUUCAAAGAUUCAUAUUUUGUUUCUUCAAAUGUGGUGUGCGCCUGUUUGAUGAGAUAGAACAAAGUAAAAUAGUGAAAAUGUCAUUAAAGACACUUGGAAGUACAAAUGUAGAAAAUAAAUAAGUUCUGAUUCUCGUCAGGUAGGAAGUUUGGAGAAGAAAACAUAAGCUUUUAAAAGAAGAAAAUGGUAAAAAUGUAAGUUUAUAAAAGAAGAAACUGGUAAAAAUGAAAGUCCAUUCAACUAUAUAAACCAUAAAGGUACGAUGGCGAUGACACCAUCAG
rnacentral:lncRNA from 1 species